rnacentral:rRNA from 1 species
UGGGGAAUAUUGCACAAUGGGCGCAAGCCUGAUGCAGCCAUGCCGCGUGUAUGAAGAAGGCCUUCGGGUUGUAAAGUACUUUCAGUCGGGAGGAAGGUGGUAAGGUUAAUAACCUUAUCAAUUGACGUUACCGACAGAAGAAGCACCGGCUAACUCCGUGCCAGCAGCCGCGGUAAUACGGAGGGUGCAAGCGUUAAUCGGAAUUACUGGGCGUAAAGCGCACGCAGGCGGUUGAUUGAGUCAGAUGUGAAAUCCCCGGGCUUAACCCGGGAAUUGCAUCUGAUACUGGUCAGCUAGAGUCUUGUAGAGGGGGGUAGAAUGCCAUGUGUAGCGGUGAAAUGCGUAGAGAUGUGGAGGAAUACCGGUGGCGAAGGCGGCCCCCUGGACAAAGACUGACGCUCAGGUGCGAAAGCGUGGGGAGCAAACAGG